rnacentral:misc_RNA from 1 species
GAUGAAGAACGCAGCGAAAUGCGAUAAGUAAUGUGAAUUGCAGAAUUCAGUGAAUCAUCGAAUCUUUGAACGCACAUUGCGCCCCCCAGUAUUCUGGCGGGCAUGCCUGUUCGAGCGUCAUUUCAACCAUCAAGCCCUGCUUGUGUUGGGGUCCUGCGGCUGCCCGCAGGCCCUGAAAACCAGUGGCGGGCUCGCUAGUCACACCGAGCGCAGUAGCACAUCUCGCUCAGGGCGUGCGGCGGGCUCCAGCCGUUAAACACCCCCUUUUUACCAAGGUUGACCUCGGAUCAGGUAGGAAUACCCGCUGAACUUAAGCAUAUCAAUAAGCGGAGGA